UUGUUCCGACAUUGAGUCGCAUUCUCUACCCAGUUGUGCCAAGAGACGAGACAAUGCAACUGAUCCCGUGCCUCUGCUUUUUGCUGUCUUGUUUCACCCAUGUCCGAUCCAAUAUCGUGUUAACCCAGUCAUCUCCUGUGUCGGUAAAGCGUGGGGAAUCUCAUAAACUGUCCUGUUCAGUGUCGGGGUUCAGUCUUGACAGCCACCAUGUGCAUUGGCUUAAGCAAGUUCCCGGGAAAAGUUUGGAGUGGCUCCUUGCUUAUAGAAAUCCUUCAGAUACCAAUUAUUACGCGCCUGGAGUCGAAGGCCGAAUCAUUCCUUCAAGAUCCUCUUCUACAGCCUACAUUGAGAUCAAAAGUUUCAGACUCGAAGACACCGCCAUUUAUUACUGUGCAAGAGAUGCACAGCAGCUCAAUCAAGUCCAGGGUUUUCUGUAUCUUGCAACGAACAACCGAAUCCAAUAUAUGACGCGGUGUGACUCACUGUGCUAUCUUGACAGCUGGGGACAAGGAACCAUGGUGACGGUGACUGCAGUGACACAGUCACUCCCCACCCUGUAUGGCUUGCUCUCCUCCUGUGAACAACUAAGCACACCCAAGUCUGUGACUUAUGGCUGUCUGGUGAUGGACUACUCCCCCGAAAUCACCAGCCUUACUUGGAAGAAGGAGCAAGAUCCGAUUGACAGUGGACUGAAGACUUACCCAUCAGUGCUGAAUAAGGAGGGAACGCGUAGCCUAAGUAGCCAGUUAACAAUCUCUGAAUCAGAGGUGGGAAGCAGCAGAAUCUACUGUGAGGUCCAUCAAAGCGAGAAAGUCUGGAGAAAAGAAAUGCCAGAUCCUGUUAUCCGUCAUCCAACUAUUAUCCUCACCGCGAGUCCUAGUGAAGAAGUCAUGAGCAGCAGAUUUGCAACUGUCGUCUGUUCAAUCGUUGAUUUCCGUCCAAACUCAAUCGCUGUAAAUUGGCUGAAGAAUGGACAAGUCAUCCCUUCGGGCUUUGUCACUUCCCCAACCUUUGAAGUGAACGGCAACUUUUCAGCCACCAGUCGUCUCACAUUCACUGCUAGGGAGUGGUUCGACAAUGCGGUCUUUUCCUGCCAGGUUACUCACCAACGGUUCACCCAAAUUCAGAACAUCACCAGAUCUUCUGAGGAUUCCACGUGCAGCGAUCCUAAAAUCACUCUAUUGCCACCACCAAUCGACCAAGUCUUACUGGACGACACGGUGACCUUAACUUGCAUCGUGUCUAACGUUGCUUACGAAGUCAACGUGUCUUGGACCCAAGGAACGAAGCCUUUGAAAUCAGAGAUUACUACUCAACAGGGAGAGGAUCAACACAGUGUGAUCAGCAAAAUAGACAUCUCUACACAAGCCUGGCAGAGUGGGGCUACGUUCUUCUGCGUGGCAAGCGAUCAGAAUCUGCCGACCCCUGUAAGAGGUUCUAUCAGCAAAAUAAAAGAUAAUCAUCCCCGAGUGCCUUCCGUAUCUGUGCUCUUGCCCUUGGCAGAAAAACUCUACUCUCAGGAGUUCGUCUUCCUCACCUGCUUAGUGAGAGGUUUCUCCCCCCGAGAGAUCUUUGUUAAGUGGACCGUCAAUGACAAGCCGGUGAAUCCUGGUAACUACAAGAACACCGAGGUGAUAGCGGAGAAUGACAAUACUUCCUACUUUAUGUACAGCCUGCUAUCCAUUAGAGCGGCGGAGUGGGCCAACGGUGCCUCUUACUCUUGUAUGGUGGGACAUGAGGCGAUUCCCCUGAAAUUCAUCAACAGAAGUGUCGAUAAAUCUAGCGAUUCCACAGACCACGUCUGGAUUGAAGACUACCAGGAUAUAAAUAGCAACAUCUGGACAACUGCUUCCAUGUUCAUCACCCUGUUCUUCCUGAGUAGUUUCUACAGCGCUGCUGUCACUCUAGUGAAGGUCAGGUGAUCUGUUGAAUAUCCGACACGCUGGAUUUUAUUCAAGCAUUAAUUCCUCUAUAUGACGAAUUUAAAAUGAAUUAUCUUCUCCUUAAAAAAUAACUUUUUUAUUCAGUUUAUUUUUUCACACCUGUCGCUGAGACAAAUAUGGAAACUACGUCUGUAUUUCCAUUUGAAUAGUUUGAGAUAAUGAAUUAGUUUCUUAUUUCACUUGAAUGUGAGUUCCAUUUGACAGUAAUAUUUCUUGUUCUUUAUUCAGAAUUAUUCCUUCCCGUUUGCAGAGUCAUUUCUUCUUUCUUGCUUGUGUUUGUUUCAGUUGUGCAAAUAAUUGGCAGCUGAGCCGACAUGUGCUUCAUUCUCACUGUGAUGCUCAUUCUAUUCACUCCUGUUAACUUUAAAAUAAACAAUGUGAAAUGCCAUUA